rnacentral:tRNA from 4 species
GCACCCGUAGCUCAGUUGGAUAGAGUACCUGGCUACGAACCAGGUGGUCGGGAGUUCGAAUCUCUCCGGGUGCGCCA